rnacentral:rRNA from 2 species
GCAUCGAUGAAGAACGCAGCGAAAUGCGAUACUUGGUGUGAAUUGCAGAAUCCCGUGAACCAUCGAGUCUUUGAACGCAAGUUGCGCCUGAAGCCGUUAGGUUGAGGGCACGUCUGCCUGGGUGUCACAC